GACGAACGCUGGCGGCGUGCUUAACACAUGCAAGUCGACCGGAGUGGCGAACGGGUGAGUAACACGUGGGUGACCUUCCCUGCACUUCUGGAUCAGCCUGGGAAACUGGGUCUCAUACCGGAUAGUGGGGGAUGGGCCCUCGGCCUCUCAGCUUGUUGGUGGGGUAAUGGCCUACCAAGGCGGCGACGGGUAGCCGGCCUGAGAGGGUGGACGGCCACAGUGGGACUGAGACACGGCCCAGACUGCUACGGGAGGCAGCAGUGGGGAAUAUUGCACAAUGGGCGGAAGCAUGAUGCAGAGACGCCGCGUGGGGGAUGACGGCCUUCGGGUUGUAAACGCCUUUCACCAUCGACGCGGUAGAUGGAGAAGAAGCACCGGCUAACUACGUGCCAGCAGCCGCGGUAAUAC
rnacentral:rRNA from 1 species